ACUUACUGAGCCUUCAUAUUUAAGUGAGCUCCACCCUCAGCCUCCUCUUUUGCCAGAACCAGGAAGAACAGAACCAGGAAGGCCUGAUGCAGUAGACACGGUGCACUGGAUUCAGAUGAUAAACACAAACGUGACUGAAAUCUCCCAAAAGUGCAUGAGUGCUGACUAUUUCAAUCCAGUCCUGCUCAGAGCAACUUCCUCUGUUCCCGUUGGCUGCUGAACCCUUUACUUCUCCUCCUGAGGGAUCUUUUGUGUAGCCUGUUACUGUUGGUGCCGGCUGAGGGAGAAAAGGUACGCAUACUGAUGACAUCAUGAAAAGUGGCCAAAGGACUUAUAAAUUACCCUGAGAUGACAUCGCCACGUUGCUGGAAAGAAUCUCCAGAAGCAGAGCCGCUGCCCGAAACACCAGAUGGAAAACCACUGGGGAAGCCACUGUGGAAUCCAGAUCCAAAAGGACGAUAUCCGGACACCUCCUGCUCACCAGAUGGC